rnacentral:rRNA from 1 species
AACGAACGCUGGCGGCAGGCCUAAUACAUGCAAGUCGAACGCACCGCAAGGUGAGUGGCAGACGGGUGAGUAACGCGUGGGAACCUUCCUAGUAGUACGGAAUAACUUCGGGAAACCAAAGCUAAUACCGUAUACGCCCUUCGGGGGAAAGAUUUAUCGCGAUUAGAUGGGCCCGCGUAGGAUCAGCUAGUUGGUGAGGUAAUGGCUCACCAAGGCUACGAUCCUUAGCUGGUCUGAGGGGAUGAUCAGCCACACUGGGACUGAGACACGGCCCAGACUCCUACGGGAGGCAGCAGUAGGGAAUAUUGGACAAUGGGCGAAAGCCUGAUCCAGCCAUGCCGCGUGAGUGAAGAAGGCCUUAGGGUUGUAAAGCUCUUUUGGCGGGGAAGAUAAUGACGGUACCCGCAGAAUAAGCCCCGGCUAACUUCGUGCCAGCAGCCGCGGUAA